CAUAUUGAACAAUUACGCAAGUGAGUUGCAAAUCCAAAUACAGCAAAUGGUAGAAAACACUCGUAAUUGGUUGGAAAACUCAGGAGUGCAUAAAGCGAAUCUCUAAGCGGUCUCGGCAAUGCCAACGACAAAGAGUGCAACAACAACAACAGCAAAAUCAGCGAUAACAACAACCAUCAUUACAUAACUGGGAAUCAAGAGUAUUAUCAUUAUUCAUAGGCAGCAUGAGUGCCUUUCUAGAUGUGACGGCUGCGCAGUCAGCGAGCAAGCG